CUGUGUUUUAUGUAUAAAAGGUGACUUUAUGUAUUUUAAAGUGUUUUGUGUCUUUUUGCAACCAUGUGCUUAAUGGAGUCUUGUGUCUGUCCUGGGAGAUAAUUGAAUUACAAUUCAAUCUCCAGGAUAGAAGACUCUGAAACUGGUUUGGGCCGGAAAGCCAUGCUUCAUUUAGUCACAAAGGACUUUCCCUUAACUUUUGAACCCCUGGUCUGAUUCGUGCCAUUUUUUAAUAUGUUGUUCCCCUGAAUGGAUUGAUUCUGAAAAUGUAUG